AGUAACCGCAUCAAAACCUCAAAGUACAACGUUAUCACAUUUCUGCCUAUCAACUUGUUUGAGCAGUUCCAACGAGUUGCCAAUGCAUAUUUUCUGUUCCUGCUGCUUUUACAGCUGAUUCCUCAUAUUUCUUCACUGUCCUGGUUUACCACUAUAGUGCCUUUAGUGCUGGUGUUAACCAUCACUGCAGUCAAAGAUGCUACAGAUGAUUUUUUUCGCUACAAGAGUGAUAAUCAGGUCAACAACCGACACUCUCAGGUGCUCAUCGAUGGCAAG